rnacentral:tRNA from 1 species
GCACCAGUAGUUCAGAAAACAGAGCGUG